AGUGAACGCUGGCGGUAGGCCUAACACAUGCAAGUCGAACGGCAGCACAGUAAGAGCUUGCUCUUACGGGUGGCGAGUGGCGGACGGGUGAGGAAUACAUCGGAAUCUACUUUUUCGUGGGGGAUAACGUAGGGAAACUUACGCUAAUACCGCAUACGACCUACGGGUGAAAGCAGUGGAUCUUCGGACCUUGCGCGAUUGAAUGAGCCGAUGUCGGAUUAGCUAGUUGGCGGGGUAAAGGCCCACCAAGGCGACGAUCCGUAGCUGGUCUGAGAGGAUGAUCGGCCACACUGGAACUGAGACACGGUCCAGACUCCUAAGGGAGGCAGCAGUGGGGAAUAUUAGACAAUGGGCGCAAGCAUGAUCCAGCCAUACCGCGUGGGUGAAGAAGGCCUUCGGGUUGUAAAGCCCUUUUGUUGGGAAAGAAAAGCAGCAGGUUAAUACCCCGCUGUUCUGACGGUACCCAAAGAAUAAGCACCGGCUAACUUCGUG
rnacentral:rRNA from 1 species